rnacentral:rRNA from 1 species
UACGUAGGGACCGAGCGUUGUCCGGAAUCAUUGGGCGUAAAGGGCGUGUAGGCGGCUAUUUAAGUCCUGCGUGAAAUCCUGCGGCUCAACCGCAGACGGUCGUGGGAAACUGGAUGGCUAGAGUGCGGGAGAGGAGAGUGGAAUUCCCGGUGUAGCGGUGAAAUGCGCAGAUAUCGGGAAGAACACCGGUGGCGAAGGCGGCAUCCUGGACCAACACUGACGCUGAGGAGCGAAAGCCAGGGGAGCAAACGGG